rnacentral:rRNA from 1 species
GAUGAACGCUGGCGGCGUGCCUAAUACAUGCAAGUCGAGCGAACAGAUAAGGAGCUUGCUCCUUUGACGUUAACGGCGGACGGGUGAGUUACACGUGGAUAACCUACCUAUAAGACUGGGAUAACUUCGGGAAACCGGAGCUAAUACCGGAUAACAUAUUGAACCGCAUGGUUCAAUAGUGAAAGGCGGCUUUGCUGUCACUUAUAGAUGGAUCCGCGCCGUAUUAGCUAGUUGGUAAGGUAACGGCUUACCAAGGCAACGAUACGUAGCCGACCUGAGAGGGUGAUCGGCCACGCUGGAACUGAGACACGGUCCAGACUCCUACGGGAGGCAGCAGUAGGGAAUCUUCCGCAAUGGGCGAAAGCCUGACGGAGCAACGCCGCGUGAGUGAUGAAGGUCUUCGGAUCGUAAAACUCUGUUAUCAGGGAAGAACAAAUGUGUAAGUAACUGUGCACAUCUUGACGGUACCUGAUCAGAAAGCCACGGCUAACUACGUG